rnacentral:rRNA from 1 species
UACAGAGGUCCCGAGCGUUGUUCGGAUUCAUUGGGCGUAAAGGGUGCGUAGGCGGUUGGGUAAGUCAGAUGUGAAAUUCCAGGGCUCAACCUUGGAACUGCGUUUGAAACUACAAGGCUAGAGUGUAGCAGAGGGGGGUGGAAUUCCACGUGUAGCAGUGAAAUGCGUAGAGAUGUGGAGGAACACCGAUGGCGAAGGCAGCCCCCUGGGUUAACACUGACGCUCAGGCACGAAAGCGUGGGGAGCAAACAGG